UUUUUUUUUUUUUUUUUUUUUUGCUAUUUCUUUGUACCGCUCCCGCGGCAUAUGGAGGUUCCCAGGCUAGGGGUCGAAUCGGAGCUGUAGCCACCGGCCUACGCCAGAGCCACAGCAACGCGGGAUCCGAACCGCGUCUGCAACCUACACCACAGCUCACGGCAACGCCGGAUCCUUAACCCACUAAGCGAGGCCAGGGAUCGAACCCGCAACCUCAUGUUUCCUAGUCGGAUUCGUUAACCACUGCGCCACGAUGGGAACUCCCUGUAUUGGAGUUUUGAAGAAAAACCCUAAGGGACAUUACUCGGUCAAUUUUUAAAAUACAUAUAGGGAUUCACUUUGCUGUACACCUGAAAUUAAUACAACAUUGUAAGUCAACUAUAUCCCAAUAAAUUAAAUAUAUAUACAUAUAGAGAUAGUGGAUUAAAUGAGAGUGUUUGGGAGUUCCUGUUGUGGCUCAGCAGUAAUGAACCCAACUAGUAUCCAUGAGGAUGUGGGUUCCAUCCCCGGCUUUGCUCAGUGGAUUAAGGAUCUGGUGUUGUGGUGGCUGUGGCAUAGGCCAGCAGCUGCAGCUACAAUUCAACCCUUGGCCUGAGAACUUCCAAUAUGCAGCAGGUGCAGCCCCAAAAAGCAAAAACAAAACCAACCAAACAAAAACCGUGUUUGUCAAUGAUAAACUAUUGGCGUUGUUAACCAUGUUACCAAACUCAUGUUCGACUGCUUGACACUCCAAAUUCAAGGGGUGUCGAUAGAAAGGAAAGGUGCUUUAAUCAGAAAAGCUGGCAAUCUGGGAAAAAGGUGGACUCAUGUCCUGAGACCAACGCUGAAGAUUCUGCUCAUUCAUGACAGUUUUUAAAGGGGGAAAGAGAGAAAGGAUCUCAGUGAAUCAUCAAGGCAGCAGACUGGAUUCUACAUCAUUCUCCAUUGCCUCCAGACUGGCUACAUCUUUCUUUAGAUGUUACCUUACCUGCAUGAUCUGCCUAUGAGAUUGCCAAUGCUAAGGGAGCUGUUGGGGGUAGAGAGCUAGUUUUGUUUUUGUUUUUGUUUUUGUUUUGCUUUUUAGGGCCGCACCAGCCUCAUAUGAAAGUUCCCUAGCUAGGGAUUGAAUUGGGAGCUCUAGCUGCCAGCCUAUGCCACAGCCACAGCAACUCAGGAUCCUUAAACCACUGAGUGAGGCCAGCAGCUACAGCUCCAAUUCGACCCCUAGCCCAGGAACCUCCAUAUGCCUCAAAUUCGGCCCCAAAAAGAUAAAAGACAAAAAAAAAAAACAAAAACAAAAAUUGACUAUAGGCUUAAAUGUAAAAUUAUAAAACUUCUAGAGAAAUAAAAAGAGAAAAUCCUCUGGGAUCUGGAGCUAUGCAAAGAGUUCUUAUUUUUAGACUUGUCACCAAGAGUAUAAUCCAUAAGAGAAAAAAAUUGAUAAAUUGGACUUUAUCAAAAUUAAAUAUUUUUGUUAUGUGAGAGAACAGACUCUGUUAAGAGAAUAAAAAUACAAGCUACAAAAUGGGCAACAACAAAAUCCAACAAAGGACGAGUAUUUAUAAUAUAAAAAGAAUUCUCCAAACUCAACAUUUAAAAAAAUCCAGUAGAAAAUGUGCAAAAGAUGUGAGCAGAUAUUUCACUAAAGAGUAUGUCCAUACCGAGUGUGUCAACUGACUAUGUCCGUUGUGAAAUAAGCACAUGAAAACAUAUUCAGCAUCAGUAGCUAUUAAGGAAAUAAAAGUUAAAACCACAAUGAGCCAUCACUGUAUAUCUAUCAAAUGACAACACCAAAAGCAGGUGAGCGUGCAAAUGAAGAAACUGGGUCAUUCCUACAUUGCCGGUAGGAAUGUAAAUGGUAUAGCUACUCUGGAAAAAAUUUGGCAAUUUCUUCUAAAACUAGACACAGCUACUGUUAAGACCCAAGCAAUUGCACUCUUGGGUACUUAUGCCAGAAAAAAAUGAAAACUUACAUUUGAGCAAAAACCUAUACACCAAUGUUUAUAGCCGCUUUAUUUGUAAUAACCCCCAAACUGGAAAUACCCCAUAUGUCCUUUAAUGGGUGAAUGUUUAAACAAGGUGUGGUACUUCCUUAUCAUGGAACACUACUGAGCAAUAAAAAGUAACAAAGCUAUUGCUAUAAGCAACAAAUUAUAUGAAUCUUCAGGGAAUUAUGCUGAGUGAAAAAAGCCAAUCCCCAAUGGUUACAUACUAUACGAUUCCAUUUAUAUAAUAUUCUUUUUUCUUUUUUUCUUUUUCUUUUUUUUUUUUUUUUUUUUUUUUNUGCACCUGCGGCAUAUGAAAGUCCCCAGCCUAGGGGUCAAAUUGGAACUGCAGCUGUCAGCCUACACCAGUUCCACAUAUGCAACCUAUGCUGCAGCUUAUGGUAACGCUGGAUCCUUAACCCACUGAGCAAGGCUAGGGAUCGAACCCACAUCCUCAUGGAUACUAGUCAGGUUCUUAACCUGCUGAGCCACAAUGCAAACUCUCUCCAUUUAUAUAAUAUCCUUCAAAUGGUGAAAUUAUAGAAAUCAAAGACAGGUAGUGGUUGCCAGGGAGGAGACAAAUGGGUGUGUCUGUAAAAGUGCAGCUGGAGAUAUCCAUGAUGGUGAAACUGUUCUGUACCUGUCUGUUAUCAAUGUCUACAUAAUGGUUGUGACAUUAGACUCUGGUUUUACACAAUGUUCCGAUUGCAGGGAAAAGGUAAAACUGUACCUAGAAUCUCCGUAGUGUUUUUUUACAACUGCCUGCAAAUCUACAAUUAUUUUCAAAUUAAAAGUUUAUGUUUUUAAGCUCUACACCUGCAAUUGCAUACAGUUCACUGCAAUAUCUAAAACGUGUUUCAGCCAAAAUUCAGCCUAAGCC
rnacentral:lncRNA from 1 species